rnacentral:rRNA from 1 species
UACGGAGGGUGCGAGCGUUGUCCGGAAUUAUUGGGCGUAAAGAGCUCGUAGGCGGUUCAGUAAGUCGGGUGUGAAACCCCCAGGCUCAACCUGGGGACGCCACCCGAUACUGCUGUGACUAGAGUCCAGUAGGGGAGUGUGGAGUUCCCGGUGUAGCGGUGAAAUGCGCAGAUAUCAGGAAGAACACCAUGGCGAAGGCAGGCUCUCGU